UAGAGUUUGAUCCUGGCUCAGAACGAACGCUGGCGGCGUGCUUAACACAUGCAAGUCGAACGAGAAAGGGCUCUUCGGGGCCUGAGUAAAGUGGCGCACGGGUGAGUAACGCGUAGAUAACCUAUCCUGGUGUCUGGGAUAACCCACCGAAAGGUGGACUAAUACCGGAUACGCUUGUUGAUCGGGAGAGAGACGAGGAAAGAUGGCCUCUGAUAUAAGCUAUCGCACCGGGAGGGGUCUGCGUACCAUUAGCUAGUUGGUGGGGUAAGGGCCUACCAAGGCGACGAUGGUUAGCGGGUCUGAGAGGAUGAUCCGUCACACUGGCACUGAAACACGGGCCAGACUCCUACGGGAGGCAGCAGUGAGGAAUAUUGCGCAAUGGGGGAAACCCUGACGCAGCGACGCCGCGUGAGUGAGGAAGGCCUUCGGGUCGUAAAACUCUGUCAGAAGGGAAGAAAUGCAGGGAGGUUAAUACCCUUUCUGUUUGACGGUACCUUCAGAGGAAGCACCGGCUAACUCCGUGCCAGCAGCCGCGGUAAUACGGAGGGUGCGAGCGUUGUUCGGAAUCACUGGGCGUAAAGGGCGCGCAGGCGGUUUGUUAAGUCAGAUGUGAAAGCCCACGGCUCAACCGUGGAAGUGCAUUUGAAACUGGCAGACUUGAGUACCAGAGGGGAAAGUGGAAUUCCCGGUGUAGAGGUGAAAUUCGUAGAUAUCGGGAGGAAUACCGGUGGCGAAGGCGACUUUCUGGCUGGAUACUGACGCUGAGGCGCGAAAGCGUGGGGAGCAAACAGGAUUAGAUACCCUGGUAGUCCACGCCGUAAACGAUGUCAACUAGGUGUUGGGGGUGUUGAUCCCCUCAGUGCCGGAGCUAACGCAUUAAGUUGACCGCCUGGGGAGUACGGUCGCAAGAUUAAAACUCAAAGGAAUUGACGGGGGCCCGCACAAGCGGUGGAGUAUGUGGUUUAAUUCGAUGCAACGCGAAGAACCUUACCUGGUCUUGACAUCCCGGGAAUCUCCUGGAAACAGGAGAGUGCUUUCAUUAGGAAGAACCCGGUGACAGGUGCUGCAUGGCUGUCGUCAGCUCGUGUCGUGAGAUGUUGGGUUAAGUCCCGCAACGAGCGCAACCCUCGCCUUUAGUUGCCAUCAGGUUAUGCUGGGCACUCUAAAGGGACUGCCGGUGUCAAACCGGAGGAAGGUGGGGAUGACGUCAAGUCCUCAUGGCCA
rnacentral:rRNA from 2 species